AUGAGUCAUCCUGAUGGCAUCAAUAUUCCCAAUGGCAAGUUCUACCUAGGAGAUGCUGGCUAUGCAUGACGUCCAGGUGUUCUUCCACUCUUCAAGAAAAUCAGGUACCAUCUGAAUGAGUUUGCUGGUAGGAACUAUCCAAGGACUCCACGGGAAUUGUUUAAUCUGAGACACUCCAGCCUUAGAGUUACGAUUGAAAGGGCAUUUAGAGCUCUGAAGUAUAGGUUCAAGAUCCUGGAUCAGAAGCCAUUCCACACUUUCCCCAUCUAGAUUAAGCUUGUUCUUGAUUAUUGUAUUCUGCAUAACUGGAUCGUGUAGUGGGGUUUUGAUGAACUGGUGCCGGAGGAGGAAGAUGUGACGCCUGACAAUGUUGUCAACUCCAGCCAUGGUGUGGAGGCAUGUGACGCCCCCGACUUAAUCCUGCACUAA
rnacentral:rRNA from 1 species